AUUGUAAAUUGUCCAAUGCAUUUUUCAGCUGAGUUUUGUAACUGACAAACUGCAAGAUGUCAGAAUGGUGCAGUAUACUGUAGAUAGCCAGUGAAGCGCAUGUAUUGUGCACAGCAGAGGCGCCAACACAGCCGAGCUCACUG